GAACAGCGGAUGUGAGUCCUUCCUUCAGCAUGCAGAGCUGGAGUACAAGAAGCUAAACUUCAUAAAGGGAAUGACAAUUUAUACAACGAAAGAGAAGGAUGUCAACUGACUGGAUCCUCGAUUUUCUCCUCGAGGCUACUUUAAUCUGUGCCUGCUGACAAGGUCUGAGAGUCAAUUAGCUCCUCUAUCCCAACCACAAUGAAAGCCGGACAAAACACAGG